UACGGAGGGUGCAAGCGUUAUCCGGAUUCACUGGGUUUAAAGGGAGCGUAGGUGGGCUGGUAAGUCAGUGGUGAAAUCUCCGAGCUUAACUCGGAAACUGCCGUUGAUACUAUUUGUCUUGAAUAUUGUGGAGGUAAGCGGAAUAUGUCAUGUAGCGGUGAAAUGCUUAGAUAUGACAUAGAACACCAAUUGCGAAGGCAGCUUACUACACAACGAUUGACGCUGAGGCACGAAAGCGUGGGGAUCAAACAGG
rnacentral:rRNA from 1 species